CCCCAAGUUGGAGCCGAUCUUCACCACAUGCUCUGUAUUCCCAUCAUCUAAAGGGAUCGAAACCAGAUCUUUGAUUGGCCCGCCCCUUUCCUCAGCGAGAUUAUCGCGGGCAUCCAAUCCAUCGACCGGACAGAGGUCGGGUUGGUCACUUCUUUGCAAGGCUAUGCUGUAGCAGUGUCUGGCCAGGGCUUGGUCUCCCUUGACUUCUCCGACCCCCUGAUUAGUAAAGAAUUUCAAUUUUAGAUGAUAGGUCGAUACCACGGCCCGGAGGGCGUUAAGGCCA
rnacentral:lncRNA from 1 species